rnacentral:tRNA from 1 species
AUCCGGUAGUUCAGCUGGUUAGAAUGCCGCCCUGUCACGGCGGAGGUCGCGGGUUCGAGUCCCGUCCGGAUCG